AUGCAAGUCGAGCGCGAAAGUCCCCUUCGGGGGGCGACUAGAGCGGCGAACUGGUGAGUAUAAGAUGGGUAAUGUGCCCUGAUGUGGGGGAUAGCUCCGGGAAACCGGGAUUAAUACCGCAUGUCACCAUUCUUCACAAGAAGAUUGGGAAAAGGCCUUGAGUCGCAUCAGGAUCGGCCCAUCCCCCAUUAGCUUGUUGGUGAGGUCAAAGCUCACCAAGGCGACGAUGGGUAGCUGGCCUGAGAGGGUGGUCAGCCACACUGGGACUGAGAUACGGCCCAGACUCCUACGGGAGGCAGCAGUCUAGAAGCAUCCACAAUGGACGAAAGUCUGAUGGUGCGACGCCGCGUGUGGGGUAAGGCCCUUGGGUUGUAAACCACUGUCAGAAGGGAAUAAGGCUUGUAUAGCAAUAUGCAGGUUUGAAGGUACCUUCAGAGGAAGCACCGGCUAACUCCGUGCCAGCAGCCGCGGUAAUACGGAGGGUGCAAGCGUUGUUCGGAAUCAUUGGGCGUAAAGCGCGCGUAGGCGGACUGGUCAGUCUAUGGUGAAAUUUUCACGGCUCAACCGGAAAAGGCCCGUGGAUACUGCCAGUCUGGAGGACGGUAGAGGAGAGUGGAAUUCCUGGUGUAACGGUGGAAUGUGUAGAGAUCAGGAAGAACACCCGUGGCGAAGGCGACUCUCUGGACCGUUUCUGACGCUGAGGCGCGAAAAGCCAGGGGAGCAAACGGGAUUAGAUACCCCGGUAGUCCUGGCCGUAAACGGUGGGUAUUAGGUGUAGGAGGUAUCGACCCCUUCUGUGCCGUAGCAAACGCAUUAAAUACCCCGCCUGGGAAGUACGACCGCAAGGUUGAAACUCAAAGGAAUUGACGGGGGCCCGCACAAGCGGUGGAGCAUGUGGUUUAAUUCGAUGCAACGCGAGGAACCUUACCCAGGCUUGAACUGCAGGGAAAAGCGGCCGAAAGGCCGUGUGCUUCGGCGUCCUGUAGAGGUGUUGCAUGGCUGUCGUCAGCUCGUGUCGUGAGAUGUUGGGUUAAGUCCCGCAACGAGCGCAACCCCCAUCCCUAGUUACCAGCGGGUAAUGCCGGGGACUCUAAGGAGACUGCCCGUGCAAGCGGGAGGAAGGUGGGGACGACGUCAAGUCAUCAUGGCCCUUACGUCUGGGGCGACACACGUGCUACAAUGGCCGGUACAAUACGACGCAAGGCCGCGAGGCGGAGCAAAUCGUAAAAAGCCGGCCCCAGUUCGGAUUGUAGUCUGCAACUCGACUGCAUGAAGUUGGAAUCGCUAGUAAUCCCGUAUCAGACAUGACGGGGUGAAUGCGUUCCCGGGCCUUGUACACACCGCCCGUCACACCACGAAAAUCGGCUUUUCCCGAAGCCGGUGUAUGAACCUUCGGGA
rnacentral:rRNA from 1 species